rnacentral:rRNA from 1 species
GCUCCUAGUACGAGAGGACCAGAGUGGACGAACCUCUGGUGUACCGGUUGUGACGCCAGUCGCAUCGCCGGGUAGCUAUGUUCGGAAGGGAUAACCGCUGAAAGCAUCUAAGCGGGAAGCCUACCUCAAGAUAAGAUUUCCCUAGGAAUUUAUUCCUCUAAAGAGCCGUUCGAGACUAGGACGUUGAUAGGUUGGAUGUGGAAGCAUAGUGAUAUGUGAAGCUGACCAAUACUAAUUGCUCGUGAGGCUUGACUAUACAACACCCAAGCAGUUG